AACGAACGCUGGCGGCAUGCCUAACACAUGCAAGUCGAACGAGACCUUCGGGUCUAGUGGCGCACGGGUGCGUAACGCGUGGGAACCUGCCCUUAGGUUCGGAAUAACUCCCCGAAAGGGGUGCUAAUACCGGAUAAUGUCUUCGGACCAAAGAUUUAUCGCCUUUGGAUGGGCCCGCGUUGGAUUAGCUAGUUGGUAGGGUAAAAGCCUACCAAGGCGACGAUCCAUAGCUGGUCUGAGAGGAUGAUCAGCCACACUGGGACUGAGACACGGCCCAGACUGCUACGGGAGGCAGCAGUGGGGAAUAUUGGACAAUGGGCGAAAGCCUGAUCCAGCCAUGCCGCGUGAGUGAUGAAGGCCUUAGGGUUGUAAAGCUCUUUUACACGGGAUGAUAAUGACAGUAACGGGAGAAUAAGCACCGGCUAACUACGUG
rnacentral:rRNA from 1 species